UUAGGGAAAUAGUGGUUUUAAAGGUCAAAAUAACGACAUUAAAAGAUGUGUUAUUUUGAGAAUAUGGCAGUAACACUUGUGAAAGCACUUGCAUCAAUGAGUUUAGAAUGAUCCGUUUUGAUGGGUUUUUCGUGCGAGUCCGGAAGAUUUUCAUCCGCCGGACCGGGCGACUCCUGGUCUGGAUGGCACACCAGGUUUCUCUGCGGGUUCGCAAGAUAUUUAUCCGCCAAACCGGGCGACUCUUGGUCUGGGUGGCGCACCAAGUAGCCCCCCACCAACCCAUAAGGGAAGGCGCGCCAUGAACCGUCAACCAAGCCACCUCCCUGUCAGCCAUCAUCUUGCAUUCCCUGUUGUCUGCUGUUUUCUGUUGAACGCCUUUUUGCUGUUUAAUUAGGUUAC